rnacentral:lncRNA from 1 species
GCUGGCUGGGCCUUGGUCCGGUGGCUCACGGUGGGUGGUGUUCUCUCCCCUUGGACCAGGGUGGAGCACAGUUAGCUCCUAACAGGCUCCAUCCUCUCUGCCCAUCCCUCCUUAGCCCUCCUUCACUCACUCUCCUCUCACUGGGUAUUCUCUGUCCUCUCACCUCUUCACUCUUGGCCAUCACAUUCUAAGAGUCCCCUGCAGAACGGGGAACUCUCAUUUGGAUCUCCUACGUGAGCCCAGAGCUUGAUCACACCGCCUUCCCCUUCUUUGCCUGGUUCUCAGUCUCUCUAGAGGCCAGGAAGUGGCAAAGGAGCGGCCCAGCAGCAGAGGCCUCAGCUUGCACAGCUGGUUGGAGCAGAGGUGGAGACUGGUGGUGAGGGGCGGCCAGAUGCUAUGGGUCUUCACUAAAGUCUGAGCCUCUCCCAUUUCGUCUUCUUUUCUUGGCCUGGAAGAUAUGACCAGAGCCCCUGAUGUCAAGCCCCUGUCUUUGGAAAUAUUUAAUCUCCCCAUGCCUCUCUUCCAGAGAUACCUGUCCCCUUCUCUGAGCGGAUAAUGUCAUCAACUCCAUUGAAAUAGGAAUUCUAUGAAGGCAGGGAGUUUUACUCCCCCAGAGUCUAGAUCAGUGCCUGGCCCAUAGUAGGUACUCAAUGAAUAUUUUUGAAAGAACCACCACCUCUGUUGAAGUAAUCAAAGCUGAUAAAAUACUUUCACCCCUGAUAAACACUCUGUUGGGCAGGUAGACAGUUUCAGAACUAACAUUCCCAAAGAUUUGUUUUAUAAUUAUACCACAGAGCAAUUAUUUUUUUGUAAAAAAAUUCAAACAAUGCAAAGGAAGUUCCCCUUGUUCCAAAUCUAAUUAACAUGUUCCUCUUUAGUGAUGACCUGUGGCAUCAAUUAUGCAUGUGCUCUGCGGACUUGAUUCUAUGGAUUUGGACAAAUCUCUAUGUUAACAGAGGUCUA